ensembl:snRNA U6 U6 spliceosomal RNA
GUGCUUGCAUUGGCAGCAGAUAUACUAAAAUUGGAGUGAUACAGGGAAAAUUUCACAGAGGGGUCUGUGCAAGGGUGACUAGCAAAUUCAUGAAGCAUUUUUUAUUUAA